rnacentral:rRNA from 1 species
UACGUAGGGGGCUAGCGUUGUCCGGAAUCAUUGGGCGUAAAGGGCGCGCAGGUGGUUCUGUAUGUCUACCGUGAAAGCGUACGGCUCAACCGUAUUUUGUCGGUAGAAACUGCAGGACUUGAGGCUGGGAGGGGCUGGUGGAAUUCCCUGUGUAGCGGUGAAAUGCGUAGAUAUCGGGAGGAACGCCGGUGGCGAAAGCGGGCUGCUGGACCCCUUCUGACGCUGAGGCGCGAAAGCCAGGGGAGCGAACGGG